UACGAAGGGGGCUAGCGUUGUUCGGAAUCACUGGGCGUAAAGGGCGCGUAGGCGGCUUUAUAAGUCGGGGGUGAAAGCCUGUGGCUCAACCACAGAAUUGCCUCCGAUACUGUAGAGCUUGAGACCGGAAGAGGUAAGUGGAACUGCGAGUGUAGAGGUGAAAUUCGUAGAUAUUCGCAAGAACACCAGUGGCGAAGGCGGCUUACUGGUCCGGUUCUGACGCUGAGGAGCGAAAGCGUGGGGAGCGAACAGG
rnacentral:rRNA from 1 species